AACGAACGCUGGCGGCAGGCUUAACACAUGCAAGUCGAACGCAUCCUUCGGGGUGAGUGGCAGACGGGUGAGUAACGCGUGGGAACGUGCCCUUCAGUUCGGAAUAACCCAGGGAAACUUGGGCUAAUACCGGAUACGUGCGAGAGCAGAAAGAUUUAUCGCUGAAGGAUCGGCCCGCGUCUGAUUAGCUCGUUGGUGGGGAAAUGGCCCACCAAGGCGACGAUCAGUAGCUGGUCUGAGAGGAUGAUCAGCCACAUUGGGAAUGAGACACGGCCCAAACUCCUACGGGAGGCAGCAGUGGGGAAUAUUGGACAAUGGGCGCAAGCCUGAUCCAGCCAUGCCGCGUGAGUGAUGACGGCCUUAGGGUUGUAAAGCUCUUUCGUCCGGGACGAUAAUGACGGUACCGGAAGAAGAAGCCCCGGCUAACUUCGUGCCAGCCGCCGCUGUAA
rnacentral:rRNA from 1 species